rnacentral:rRNA from 1 species
UACUCGAGUGGCGAACGGGUGAGUAACACGUGGGUGAUCUGCCCUGCACUUUGGGAUAAGCCUGGGAAACUGGGUCUAAUACCGAAUAUGACCGCGCWCUUCAUGGUGUGUGGUGGAAAGCUUUUGCGGUGUGGGAUGGGCCCGCGGCCUAUCAGCUUGUUGGUGGGGUAAUGGCCUACCAAGGCGACGACGGGUAGCCGGCCUGAGAGGGUGACCGGCCACACUGGGACUGAGAUACGGCCCAGACUCCUACGGGAGGCAGCAGUGGGGAAUAUUGCACAAUGGGCGCAAGCCUGAUGCAGCGACGCCGCGUGAGGGAUGACGGCCUUCGGGUUGUAAACCUCUUUCAAUAGGGACGAAGCGCAAGUGACGGUACCUAUAGAAGAAGGACCGGCCAACUACGUGCCAGCAGCCGCGGUAAUACGUAGGGUCCGAGCGUUGUCCGGAAUUACUGGGCGUAAAGAGCUCGUAGGUGGUUUGUCGCGUUGUUCGUGAAAACUCACAGCUUAACUGUGGGCGUGCGGGCGAUACGGGCAGACUAGAGUACUGCAGGGGAGACUGGAAUUCCUGGUGUAGCGGUGGAAUGCGCAGAUAUCAGGAGGAACACCGGUGGCGAAGGCGGGUCUCUGGGCAGUAACUGACGCUGAGGAGCGAAAGCGUGGGGAGCGAACAGGAUUAGAUACCCUGGUAGUCCACGCCGUAAACGGUGGGUACUAGGUGUGGGUUUCCUUCCUUGGGAUCCGUGCCGUAGCUAACGCAUUAAGUACCCCGCCUGGGGAGUACGGCCGCAAGGCUAAAACUCAAAGRAAUUGACGGGGGCC